CGGAGGGAUCUUACUGAGUUUACGCUCUAUAACCCUUUGUGAACAUACCUAUAACUGUUGCUUCGGCGGGUAGGGUCUCCGUGACCCUCCCGGCCUCCCGCCCCCGGGCGGGUCGGCGCCCGCCGGAGGAUAACCAAACUCUGAUUUAACGACGUUUCUUCUGAGUGGUACAAGCAAAUAAUCAAAACUUUUAACAACGGAUCUCUUGGUUCUGGCAUCGAUGAAGAACGCAGCGAAAUGCGAUAAGUAAUGUGAAUUGCAGAAUUCAGUGAAUCAUCGAAUCUUUGAACGCACAUUGCGCCCGCCAGCAUUCUGGCGGGCAUGCCUGUUCGAGCGUCAUUUCAACCCUCAAGCUCUGCUUGGUGUUGGGGCCCUACAGCUGAUGUAGGCCCUCAAAGGUAGUGGCGGACCCUCCCGGAGCCUCCUUUGCGUAGUAACUUUACGUCUCGCACUGGGAUCCGGAGGGACUCUUGCCGUAAAACCCCCAAUUUUCCAAAGGUUGACCUCGGAUCAGGUAGGAAUACCCGCUGAACUUAAGCAAU
rnacentral:sRNA from 1 species